rfam:Triticum urartu cultivar G1812 contig40203, whole genome shotgun sequence.
AUGUUACUCCCUCCGUCCCAAAAUAAGUGUCUCAACUUUGUACUAACUUUAGUUCAAAAGAUGUACUAAAGUUGAGACACUUAUUUUGGGACGGAGGGAGUACUAU